rnacentral:rRNA from 1 species
UACAGAGGUGGCAAGCGUUGUUCGGAAUUACUGGGCGUAAAGGGCGCGUAGGCGGUUCGUUAAGUCCUGUGUGAAAUCCCCCGGCUCAACUGGGGAACUGCACAGGAAACUAGCGGGCUUGAGUUCGGGAGAGGGAAGCGGAAUUCCGGGUGUAGCGGUGAAAAUGCGUAGAUGUCGGAAGGAACGCCGGCGGCGAAGGCGGCUGAC